rnacentral:rRNA from 1 species
CCUACGGGUGGCAGCAGUGAGGAAUAUUGGUCAAUGGGCGCGAGCCUGAACCAGCCAAGUAGCGUGAAGGAUGACUGCCCUCCGGGUUGUAAACUUCUUUUAUAAAGGAAUAAAGUGAGGCACGUGUGCCUUUUUGUAUGUACUUUAUGAAUAAGGAUCGGCUAACUCCGUGCCAGCAGCGGCGGUAAGACGGAGGGUACGAGCGUUAUCCGAGUUUAUUGGGUUUAAAGGGAGCGUAGAUGGGUUGUUAAGUCAGUUGUGAAGGGUUGCGGCUUAACCGUAACAGUGCAAUUGAUACUGGCAGUCUUGAGUACAGUUGAGGUAGGCGGAAUUCGUGGUGUAGCGGUGAAAUGCUUAGAUAUCACGAAGAACUCCGAUUGCGAAGGCAGCUUACUAAACUGCCACUGACAUUGAUGCUCGAAAGUGUGGGUAUCAAACAGGAUUAGAUACCCUUGUAGUC